CCUUCAUUUUGUAAACAGACAGUGAGGAAACUCAGGACGACUUGGACACAGAGUCUCAUACAGAGUGUAAUAAAACUGAUGGAACAACAUAUGUGAUGAGCUGGAUCCUCGGUGGUCUGACUGUUUUCCUUCUCGUGGUCGUUACUGGUCUGGUUGUUUCACGCAUAAAACUUCAAGCAGCUUUGAAUGAGGGACAGAAAAAACAUCAGCAGGAGAAUCCAGCCUCUGAUGAACUGAACUACGCAGCAGUGAAUUUCCGUCAAAAAGAAAGACGAAGAGAAGUGGAGCCGAACGUUGUGUAUUCUGCUACUAGAUAGACUGAAGAAGCAACAAACACAGGUCAGAGCAAACUGAGGACUGAUUUAUAACAAGCUGCAAAUGAACUGUGACCGAUGCUCAUGAGAAUCUGUAAUUUUUUUGUCAAAACAAACCUAGUAUCAUAUUUUAUUCUCUAUUUGUUUUUGUGACGAUAGAAAUUAAAGUAUUUACAACAUUUCUACAUGUACUAGAGUAGGAAUAACUAUGAACCAGCAUCUAUCUAGU